rnacentral:rRNA from 1 species
CAGCAGCCGCCGCGGGAAUACGUAGGUGGCAAGCGUUGUCCGGAAUUAUUGGGCGUAAAGGGCUCGCAGGCGGUUUCUUAAGUCUGAUGUGAAAGCCCCCGGCUCAACCGGGGAGGGUCAUUGGAAACUGGGAAACUUGAGUGCAGAAGAGGAGAGUGGAAUUCCACGUGUAGCGGUGAAAUGCGUAGAGAUGUGGAGGAACACCAGUGGCGAAGGCGACUCUCUGGUCUGUAACUGACGCUGAGGAGCGAAAGCGUGGGGAGCGAACAGGAUUAGAUACCCCAGUAGUCCCUGUCUCUUAUAC